rnacentral:rRNA from 1 species
AUCAGAUUUCCUUUUCUAACAUGAUUUUAUUCUAAAUAUGUGAUCUUAGGGCUCGCUUACACAAAGUAUACCAUCAGUGGGAACUUUGCUUUCUGGUUGGGAAGUGUCUCUGUCCUUUUCACUUCUUAUUAG